rnacentral:rRNA from 1 species
GACGAAUGCUGGCGGCGUGCUUAACACAUGCAAGUCGAACGGAAAGGCCCUGCUUUUGUGGGGUGCUCGAGUGGCGAACGGGUGAGUAACACGUGAGUAACCUGCCCUUGACUUUGGGAUAACUUCAGGAAACUGGGGCUAAUACCGGAUAGGAUCUCCUGCUGCAUGGUGGGGGUUGGAAAGUUUCGGCGGUUGGGGAUGGACUCGCGGCUUAUCAGCUUGUUGGUGGGGUAGUGGCUUACCAAGGCUUUGACGGGUAGCCGGCCUGAGAGGGUGACCGGCCACCUUGGGACUGAGAUACGGCCCAGACUCCUACGGGAGGCAGCAGUGGGGAAUAUUGCACAAUGGGCGGCAGCCUGAUGCAGCAACGCCGCGUGCGGGAUGCCGGCCUUCGGGUUGUAAACCGCUUUCGCCUGUGACGAAGCGUGCGCGACGGUAAUGGGUAAAGAAGCACCGGCUAACUACGUG